AGGAAAAUGGAACAAACGUAUCAAGAUAAAGGGGAACAACAUAAAAAAUUUAAACAAACUCACCACUGAGCUCACAAAACCACUUUUUGCAUUCCCUGGAACCUGAGUGCCUGACUGAAAAGAAAGUGUUGUCCUGCAUAUGGAAGUUCAUCAGGAAACAGACAUUGUGCUAGAUGGCGUCAUAUAGAAUUUUGGCACUGCAAUCAGAAAAAUGACAAGGAUCAACCCUUUCUGCUCCUGCUAAAAAGUAAUUAAAUGACACCAACUGGAACCUCCCCCAGGAGCCUGGGAAAAUAUAUCAUCUGAGCACUCCAGAAUGAG
rnacentral:lncRNA from 1 species